GAGUUUGAUCCUGGCUCAGAUUGAACGCUGGCGGCAGGCUUAACACAUGCAAGUCGAACGGUAACAUGAGUGCUUGCACUUGAUGACGAGUGGCGGACGGGUGAGUAAGGUAUGGGGAUCUGCCGAAUGGAGGGGGACAACAGUUGGAAACGACUGCUAAUACCGCAUAAAGUUGAGAGACCAAAGCAUGGGACCUUCGGGCCAUGCGCCAUUUGAUGAACCCAUAUGGGAUUAGCUAGUUGGUAGGGUAAAGGCUUACCAAGGCGACGAUCUCUAGCUGGUCUGAGAGGAUGACCAGCCACACUGGAACUGAGACACGGUCCAGACUCCUACGGGAGGCAGCAGUGGGGAAUAUUGCACAAUGGGGGAAACCCUGAUGCAGCCAUGCCGCGUGUAUGAAGAAGGCCUUCGGGUUGUAAAGUACUUUCGGUAAUGAGGAAGGUGGUGUAUCUAAUAGGUGCAUCAAUUGACGUUAAUUACAGAAGAAGCACCGGCUAACUCCGUGCCAGCAGCCGCGGUAAUACGGAGGGUGCGAGCGUUAAUCGGAAUGACUGGGCGUAAAGGGCAUGUAGGCGGAUAAUUAAGUUAGGUGUGAAAGCCCUGGGCUCAACCUAGGAAUUGCACUUAAAACUGGUUAACUAGAGUAUUGUAGAGGAAGGUAGAAUUCCACGUGUAGCGGUGAAAUGCGUAGAGAUGUGGAGGAAUACCGGUGGCGAAGGCGGCCUUCUGGACAGAUACUGACGCUGAGAUGCGAAAGCGUGGGGAGCAAACAGGAUUAGAUACCCUGGUAGUCCACGCUGUAAACGAUGUCGAUUUGGAGCUUGUUGCCCUGAGUGAUGGGCUCCGAAGCUAACGCGAUAAAUCGACCGCCUGGGGAGUACGGCCGCAAGGUUAAAACUCAAAUGAAUUGACGGGGGCCCGCACAAGCGGUGGAGCAUGUGGUUUAAUUCGAUGCAACGCGAAGAACCUUACCUGGUCUUGACAUCCACAGAAUCUUGCAGAGAUGCGAGAGUGCCUUCGGGAACUGUGAGACAGGUGCUGCAUGGCUGUCGUCAGCUCGUGUUGUGAAAUGUUGGGUUAAGUCCCGCAACGAGCGCAACCCUUAUCCUUUGUUGCCAGCGGUUUGGCCGGGAACUCAAAGGAGACUGCCGUUGAUAAGGCGGAGGAAGGUGGGGACGACGUCAAGUCAUCAUGGCCCUUACGACCAGGGCUACACACGUGCUACAAUGGCGUAUACAAAGGGAGGCGA
rnacentral:rRNA from 1 species